rnacentral:lncRNA from 1 species
AAAGCUUUAUAAUUUGUAAUAGGUCAUCACAGCAUUUAUAAGGCAUUUGUGUGAAGGGAAGCUGAAUUCUUAUAAGUAAAGAAUAUCCAAUUAGAAGAAGGUAUUUAUUAUUUGACUUUUUUUCAUGUAAUAAUAAUUUUUAUUCUUAAACAUACUCUUUUCAGUUAGUUUGAUAAUAAGUCAUACAUUUUUUAAGAAUCUUUUUUUUUUAAUAAAAAGCAUGACAUUGGUUUGGUACUGUCAAUUAUUUCCUAUAAACAUUACUUGUCACUAUCUUGCUUAAUUUUAUCCUUUUUCAUUUAAAAUGUGAAAUUGUAGGAUUAUUUUGAGCCAACUGAACCGUGCAUAACGAGACAACUGAGCAUAAUUUAAAGAAACGAUAAGCUUCCUCGAGAUUCUUUUAGCAGACGAAAUAUUUACCAAUAAAAUACUGAAAAUCAAAACAAUUAAACAGUUGUCCUCUGUUAAUUGAUAAAGGCAAAAUCGCAAAACGGUUAUCUAAAUUAAUAAUAAUACUUUAUUGUCAUAAUUUUCGGUCCGGAAUGUUCUUCGACUUCCUACUUUAUUUCGUAUUUCUAACUAUUUUUAUUUGAGCUCGUUUGUAGACGAAACGAGCGUGUGCCGUACAAAAUAUUAAGAGAGAUUUCUAUGAUGAGUGCGCUUAUUGAUAUGUAAAAUGAUGUUUUGUAAAAAAAUAAUGAUAAGGGAGUGAAGUAGAUAAAAUGGGGACAAAACAAAUUAUAAAUCGACGAAAUAUAGACAAUACUAUGACCAAAACGGAACACGACGAAAGACGAUCAAUACAUGUGUAAAUCUAGGGGAAAGUAAACUCACAAAAACACUGCAAGGAAAAUUCAAAACGGAAAGUCCUGAAUCAAAUGGCAGAAUCAAAAACUAAAACACAUCAAUGGAUAACAACUGUCAUAUUCCUAAAUUGGUACAAACAUUACUAGUAUCUUAUGUAGAAAAUCAUUGUAAAAAGAACAAUUACUAAUCCUGCACCAUGUUUUUCUUAUACAUUUUCCAAAAAUCAUAUGCAUGUCUGCAUACAGUUUUUCAAUUAUAUUGAACAAGAUCAACAUGUUUAAAAAAUGAUGUUGAAAUGUAUAGAAAAGAAGGGAAUCAACCAAUGAUUGAAUUUCUUCAUUUUAGAUAAUGAUACGACUGUUCUUCGUUGUUAUCAUCAGUAGUUCCGUAUUAAGUGAUGACUUGGGCUUUCUAAGUUGUGGGGAGGUAACUCUACGACCAGUUAAAUGGGAUGAUUGGUACGUGGUGAUGGGACUUGAUGGUGUAAUACAUGGCAAUGAUUAUAUCUUCGACUUCUUGGUUGACGCUGACGCCAAGUUCACAUUUGUAAGAAUCGACGAAGAAAAACCUUUAUUUUAUAUAACUAUGAACAGGAAUGGACAAUAGAGAUUUGUCUACAUGACAGAUAGACCUGAUAAAAGGGUUGAAUCUGUAGACUCCAUACCUGGCCCUGAAGGUCAAUGGAACAUCACGAGAGUAGUGAAUGGUAAAUACACAUUGUCAACAGAGGCUCAACCUGAUUGGCGGAUGUGUAUGAAUGAUGAUUACCGUGGUACUAUUAUCGGAUGUGAGGACGAAAUUGGGCCUAAAGAAAUAUUCAAUGUACAAAACUGGUAACUGUUACCAUCGUUUCUUACUUGGGUCGUAUUUUUUAAACCAUUAUAAAUAUUUCAAUUAGAUGUGUUAUAUAAGCUUUAUAAAAGAGGUAAUCAAUUAGUUAAAUAUUUUGGUUGACAUGUAAUAUUUUUGAUUAGCUUCAUGGCUCCAGAC